GCCUCGUUGGCGCAGUUAGGCAGCGCGUCAGUCUCAUAAUCUGAAGGUUGUGAGUUCGAUCAUCACACGGGGCA